rnacentral:lncRNA from 1 species
UCAGAUUUGGAUUUCACAAAAUCCAUGCCGAUUCCAACCUGAUGUCACUCCGACGUACAUAUCAUCAAAUCAUAUGCGAACCCUACUAUUUUGAAUUAUUAAUGAAACUCACCACUCAAACUAUUAAGAACGUCCACUAAAUUGUAGACAUUUAUUGCAGAGCUAUAAUCCUAACAUUCAAAAAAAUAAAGCUCAUUAGAUCAUCAAUACACAUAUCUUAUAUCAUACAAAUUUGAACACUCAAGAGUGAUCCUUAGGAUAAAAUCUUGAAUCAACAAUUUGUUAAUCUUAACAAGGAGUUUUCUUCUUCAGAUCUCCCGUCAGCUUUCCACCCUUUUUCCCCUCUACCUCUUCUUAAGAUCACAAGUUCAGGCAAUCCUGAAAGAGAACUUCACAGAAAUUUGAACAUCACCAAUAAUAUACAGUAUACUUGACACACAAGACAGAUUUCACUUUCUUUACACAAAGCUAGAAGCACUAGCUCUUUCUUCUGAAGAGAUGUGAAUGAAAUGAAAAAUCUUAAAUUCACAUCUGAUAAUCAGAUAUGAAACUCCUAUAAAUAGAAAUACUGCAAGCAUGUAUGUCUCAGGCAGGUUCUACCAAGUAUGGUUUUCAAGCUUAACCUUCCAUUAGACUCUUGCACCAGAAGCCAACACUCAGUCCUUAGUCAUGCAGCACCAACCUUGGUACAUGAGACUGCCCCAUGAGGUGCAAUGCAUCAAGCAGUUAACAAAAUAGAGGAGUUUCAGUAUCUAAAGCAUAUUUUUCAAUGCAACCUCCAGAGCCGGACCCGGGACAUCCUUCAACAUGUUAGAAACACAACACAUCAAGGCUACGUUCCAUCUGCAUUACUGCACAAAACAAUAAA